UACGUGGGGGGCAAGCGUUGUCCGGAUUUAUUGGGCGUAAAGAGCGUGUAGGCGGCCAAACAGGUCAGCUGUGAAAACUCGAGGCUCAACCUCGAGACGUCGGUUGAAACCGUUUGGCUAGAGUCCGGAAGAGGAGAGUGGAAUUCCCGGUGUAGCGGUGAAAUGCGCAGAUAUCGGGAAGAACACCCGUGGCGAAGGCGGCUCUCUGGGACGGUACUGACGCUGAGACGCGAAAGCGUGGGGAGCGAACAGG
rnacentral:rRNA from 1 species